CCAGACUCCUACGGGAGGCAGCAGUGAGGAAUAUUGGUCAAUGGGCGGAAGCCUGAACCAGCCAAGUCGCGUGAGGGAAGAAGGCCCUGCGGGUCGCAGACCUCUUUGGACGGGGAGCAAGGCCGCCGACGUGUCGGCGGAAGGAGAGUACCCGUAGAACAAGCAUCGGCUAACUCCGUGCCAGCAGCCGCGGUAAUACGGAGGAUGCGAGCGUUAUCCGGAUUUAUUGGGUUUAAAGGGUGCGCAGGCGGGGGCACAAGUCAGCGGUAAAAUCGCGGGGCCCAACCCCGCUCCGCCGUUGAAACUGUGUCCCUUGAGUGCGCGAAGGGUAGGCGGAAUGCGUGGUGUAGCGGUGAAAUGCAUAGAUAUCACGCAGAACUCCGAUUGCGAAGGCAGCAUGCCGGCUCCACACUGACGCUGAGGCACGAAAGCGUGGGUAUCGAACAGGAUUAGAUACCCGCGUAC
rnacentral:rRNA from 1 species